GCAACAGUGGUCUAACGGUUAUGAUCCGGUCUUCCCAUUGUGUUAACGCUUUGGCCGGGAAAGGGGUUCGACUCCCCUCUGUUGCA